rnacentral:rRNA from 1 species
AUGCACCACCUUCUCAACAAGGCCACGUCACAAGGGUAUCUCCACCCUAUAGGUCGAAGAGCACCGACCAUCAUGGCGUCUUUAUACGCAGAUGAUGCUGCCAUCUUUGUCAGACCCACGAGAGAGGACGCCCAAUUUCUUGCUUCCUCCUUAGCCGCUUUCGAAGAAGUGGCUGGCAUGGUUACUAACUGUGCUAAAAGUAUGGUGGCUCCCAUUCGGUGUGAAAACAUAAAUCUGGACGACAUUCUGCAAGCCUUACCGAUGGUGCGCUCCGCUUUCCCGAUGCGAUACCUUGGUCUUUCGCUGUCGGUCAAGCGCCUCAAAAAUAUUCACUUUCAACCUCUCAUUGACAAGGUCGCUAGCAAGCUCGCCGCUUGGCAGGGAAGACACAUUGCCAGUGUUGGGCGUGUGGUUCUCGUUAAAGCGGUCCUCACGGCCAUCGCGAUUUAUCACCUCACGCCUCUCGACAUCCCCGUGGAGGUGCUAAACGCAAUUGACAGCCUUCGGCAUGCAUACCUUUGGGCCGGUAUGGACAAAGUUUCAGGAGGAAAAUGCAAGAUUAGUUGGGAUCUCGUCUACAAGCCUAAACAGUUUGGCAGACUAGGCGUGCUCAAUCUGGACAAAUUCGCUAAGGCCCUCCAUCUUCGAUGGCUAUGGUUUGAGUGGGUGGACAAAAGCAAGCCUCGGAUAGGCAUGUGA